AUGACUCUUGGUACUCUUGUUAUCAUGGUGACAUUGCUGGUGUAUUUUGUAUUGAAGAAUAAAAGAGUGCUAUUGUCCCAGCAGCAACGGGGGCGACGAGGCAGGCUGCCCCCGGGGCCUGCGGCGCUGCCCAUCGUCGGUAACAUGCAUCAGGUGAUUCUGAACAAGCCGGCGGUAUUCCGAUGGAUCCAUGGCCUUCUCAAGGAGAUGAACACCGACAUCAUGUGCCUCCGUCUCGGAGCUACUCAUGUCAUUGUUGUGACAUGUCCACAGAUGGCCUCUGAGGUACUACGAAAAAAUGAUGAAGUUUUUGCCUCCCGUCCCACCACCUUCGCCUCGGGCAUAUUCAGCUUCGGGUACAAGGGCUCCAUCUUCUCACCACACGGAGACCAGUGGAAGAAGAUGAGGCGCGUUCUCACUGUUGAGAUCCUCGCAUCGUCCAUGGAGCGAAAGCUCCACCACCUCCGGAAAGAGGAGUACGACCACCUUGUGAGGUACAUUAAUAAAACUCAUUGCAGCGACAUGGCAUGUCCAGGCAACUUUGUCAACGUCCGUCAUGUAACCCAACACUUCGUUGGUAACAUGAUAAGAAGGCUUGUGUUCGGUAAAAGAUACUUCAGUGACCUACCAGCUUCAUCCACUAGUGGGCCUGGACAUGAUGAGGUGGCACAUGUUGCCGCUCUCUUCACGGCCCUCAACCAUCUCUACAGCUUUUGCAUGUCCGACUACUUCCCAGCCCUCAUAGGCCUUGACCUAGAUGGCCAUGAAAAGGUUUCCAAGGAUGCCAUGCAAACACUCCACCGGUUGCAUGACCCCAUUAUAGAGGAGCGGAUCCGCGAAAGGUCAUCCACUCUUCAGAUAUUUGGUGAAAAGAAAGAGGCCAGAGACUUUCUGGAUGUCCUGGUUCAUCUUAAAGAUGCAGAGGGACAACCAAUGCUUUCCCUAGAAGAGAUUAAUUAG
rnacentral:rRNA from 1 species